GAAAGUGCUGUUUGUGAUGAUGGGUCUGCAUUAUUAGACAGAGAAUUGUUUUCACCUGAAAAAAACCUUGAUCCAAACCUAACCAUAAACCUAAACUUUCAUUAUACUCUCUUCUAAGGACAUGCAGUGCCUAAAAAAAAAAAAUAACCUAAAGGGUUAACUCUUUCUCUCCAAACCUAUGGUAUGAGAGAGCUAGAAUGCAGCUUUAAGCACAGAAAAGUUGAUAGCUGUUCCAAUUAACGUUCCAGCUAGCAUCUGCUCUUUUUAAUUAGUUGAAGUCUGAUGUUGUCUGGAGACAGGACUGCUGAGUGGAACUGCUCUGGAUUCUUUUCUGCUUACACAGCUAUUCUGGUCCCUCUUGGUCCUUGGAACUUCUUCUCCAUUUCAGAGGCCAGAGUCCAUUGUGUGUGUGCUGAUACUUGGGCUGUGCCCUCAGACCGUGUAGAUGUUUCACUGCAACAGGCUUCAAAUCUGUGUUUCCCACUGGAGGGAAUACUGACAGAGGAAGGCACUGUCAUGGAAUAGAUGCAGGUGGAUGGAGAAGGCUUCCCCAGGACCUGCCAACCUUCCUGUUUUGCUGGAAGCUCGCUGAUCCUUCACCUCACUCUUUGAAACACGACCUUUGAGGAUCUGAGCGUUUCAAUUACACACUGAUGAAUAAUUUACAAGUCAUGGCCGUUGCAAUAAACAACUCCUUCUGCUCUGUCCAAACACUUGA